CUGCUUUGAAAUGUGCAGCCUAAGCAUGACAGAGUCGAUGUUUCCAUCAAGCCGCAGCUCACCACAAAUUAACCUGCUGUCUUUCAGAAGACAUUUGAUCCCAACCUUGGAAAGGCAUCCCCCUGCACCGCCCAGCGCAACGCUGAAAACUGAUCUUUUGUAUUCCUGGAUCCCAACCACCCUGGUACAAAGCCAGGCCCCGGGCAGAUGGGGCAGAAGUAUUAGGAAAUGACUGGUGAUAGACAUUGAAAGAUACACUGAUAUUAAAUUAUGUCAUCAUGAAAAGAGAAAGCUCCACCGUGGAGCUCGGGCUGGUCAUACCCACCCCAUCUAAAACAAAACAAAACUCCCUCACAGGUUUUCUCCUAACAUACUGUAUCUAGUCACUAAGAACGGGCAUUCU